GUGGUGUUUUUUCUUUUUGAAAUCGUUUUUGGUUUUGGAAAUCUCUAGAAAGAAAUAUUAAAUAUUAUUAUUACCCACUCUUAUAAAUAGUCAUGUUCGACACUGCCAGGCAAGGGAUUUGACUGGGGCGGUACAUUUGUUAAAGCGUAAUGCAAGUAUCCUAAGGGAAGCUCAGAGAACGGAAACCUCUCCUAGAAUAAAAGGGUAAAAGCUCGCUUGAUCUUAAUUUUCAGAACGAAUACAGACAGCGAAAGCGUGACCUCCCGAUCCUUUAGAGUUAGGAAAUCUCUAAUUUAGCAAGAGGUAUCAGAAAAGUUACCUC
rnacentral:ncRNA from 1 species